rnacentral:rRNA from 1 species
AAACCAACAGGGAUUGCCUCAGUAACGGCGAGUGAAGCGGCAACAGCUCAAAUUUGAAAUCUGGCCUCUUUUGGGGUCCGAGUUGUAAUUUGUAGAGGAUGUUUCGGGUACCGCCUCGGCCUAAAUUUCUUGGAACAGAAUGUCAAAGAGGGUGAGAAUCCCGUCUUGGACCGGCGGUAGGGCCCAUGUGAAACUCCUUCGACGAGUCGAGUUGUUUGGGAAUGCAGCUCAAAAUGGGUGGUAAAUUUCAUCUAAAGCUAAAUAUUGGCCAGAGACCGAUAGCGCACAAGUAGAGUGAUCGAAAGAUGAAAAGAACUUUGAAAAGAGAGUUAAACAGUAUGUGAAAUUGUUGAAAGGGAAGCGCUUGCAACCAGACUUGAGCGCGGCGGUUCCCCCUUCCUUUUGGUUGGGUUACUCCGUCGUGUCCAGGCCAACAUCGGUUCUGGGGGUCGGUUAAAGGCUCGGGGAAUGUAUCUACUCCUUCGGGGGUAGACUUAUAGCCCCGGGUGUCAUGCGACCUCCCGGGACCGAGGAACGCGCUUCGGCUCGGAUGUUGGCGUAAUGGUUGUCAGCGAC